UGUCAACAAACAUGGCUCCACACAUACUGUAUCUGCCUACCCCGGCCAAACCCUAACCCAGACGACGCUGGGCCAAUUGUGCGCCACCCACGGGACUUCCAAUCAUGGCCAGUUGUGAUACAGCGUGGAAUCGAACCAGGCGAAUCACGGGGAUUGGGACCUGGUCGGGUGUCAACAGUAUAUCCCUCGCGUCCGACUCAUUGAAGAAAAACUUUUUGUCCAGUUUGAGGAGUGACUUCGGGACAAGUCUCUGAAUGUCCUUGAGUGGCUCAGCCAGAGCCUGGACUUUAAACUGAUCGAAAAUAUCUGUAGAAACCUGAAAAUAGCCGUGCAGCAAUGCUCCUCAUGCAACUUGACAGAGCUUGAGAGGAUCUACAGAGAAGAAUGGGAGAAACUCCCCAGAUACAGGUGUCCCAAGCUUGUAGCUUUAUACCCAAGAAGACUCAAGGCUGUAAUCUCUGCCAAAGGUGCUUCAACAAAGUACUGAGUAAAGGGUCUGUAAACAUGAUCAAUUCAUUUUUUCAUUUUUAAUAAAUUAGCAAAUAUUUCUAAAAACCUGUUUUUGCUUUGACAUUAUAGGGUGUUGUGUGUCAAUUUUAGAAAAACGCUGUAAAGCAACAAAAUGUCAAAUAAGUCAAAGGGUCUGAAUACUUUCCGAAGGCACUGUAUAGAUAACUGUUAUUUUCUACUCCUUGUAUGUGCCUUUCUAUAAACUAGGGUACCAGUGAGGAUUGAUAAUGAUACAAAUAAAAAAAGAUAAUGUCAUUACAUCAACUUAUAAGGGGGAUCAUAGCUAUAUUUAAUACAAUUCACAAGUUGGUUAAAAACCUAUGUUUAACCGUUUAUCAUGGUUGGAAAGUUCUAUACAAAAUCGUGUGAUAUAAAACAUUACUUUUCUGUCCUUGUAUUUAUGGCAGUAUAUGUUGUCAUUAUAUCAUAUUUAUUAAGCAUUAAUCAGUUAGAUUAGAUUAGUUACGCCAUGAUAUUUUCACACAUCUGAUCCAGGUAGACAUUUUCCGAAUGACAGUGAAGUGACAAACAGCUGUUGUGAUAGCACAUGCAAUGCAACAACAGCCCAAGUGCUGGAAAUAAGGUGUUGGCGAGGAAGGUUCAGAAUAUUUUGUUACGCAGGUAAAGACAGUUGUGCCUGGAUCCACAUUGGAUCGACUAUCCCGAGUAAAUUAAUGUUGAUCAUCUGUUGUUGUCUACUCGAUUUAGGGUGUUGUUAGAUUUAACAGAGCAAACAUCAAGGUAAUGAGUUUAUAUUUUCAUAUGUUUUUGUGCCUCGGAUUGGACACAGAGUCUACUCUGCGCAAUUGUGUAGGAUAGACUAUUGUGCAACAUCCAACACACUUCCUAUUAAUUAUUCUGGAUAUAAUGACAACAUAGUGGGCUAGGGGGGUUCUUCACAAUAUGAUCGGGUAAUGAAAUAACAUGACAAACACAUUUUGGUAACCAUGUUACACCUACAAUUUUAAACAACACAUUAUCAAACUUAUUGUGAAAUAGAAACAAAUGACUUAUUAAAAAUGUGUGACUGGCACAUGAAGAAGGCCACUAUUUUGUGUGUAUUACACAAUUUUCAAUACAAUGCAUUUUGUGUGCAUUACACAAUUUUCUUUCUUCAUAAUGCAUUUGUGUACAUUACACAAAUUCCAAUUUGUUGUGGCUAACGUUAGCUAGACUAGCUAGGUGGCUAAUGUUAGCUAGGCUAGGGGUUAACAUUAGGGUUAGGGGUUAAGGUUAGGUUUAGGGGUUAAGGUUCGGGCUAGGGCUAGUUAACAUGCUAGCUAAGUAAUUCAAGGGUUAGGUUUAGGAGUUAGAUUAAAGGAUUAAGGUUGGGGUUAUGGGAAGGGUUAGCUAACAUCCUAAGUAGUCGCAAUGUAGUUAAGUAGUAAGAAAAAGUAGUAAAAAUUAGUAAGUUGUUGCAAAGUAGCUAAUUAGUGAAAAUGUGAACGUUUUUCAUGAUAAGAUUCAAACACACAACCUUUGGGUUGCUAGACACUCGCGUUAUACUCCUACCCAUCCUCCCCGACCAACCUCACUUUCAUAAUGUCAUCUAAUGUUUGCUUCUAUCUUGGCUUCCAUACAAAUCCAUCUAUUAAAAAUGGAACCAAGUUUUUGGUCACUUUCUCAUUAGGAAAACAGAGAUGGUGAGAUUAAUGCUACUGCUGUUCAUGGAUUUAUUACAUGUGUCUGUGUCAGACACAUAGGCCACAGAAAAAAUUGCCAUGCAUGCAUUCAAUCUAUUUAGUCCACAUUAUUCUCAAUUUUGUUUAUGUAAUAAUAAUUUCAAUAUGAAUGCAUUGGCAAGGCCCCAAAAAAGUAUAAUUUUUCUUAGUGGUAACGGCCUACUUUUUAUUUUAUUUAAUUUAUUUAUUUACUUUUGCAUGCUUUUUGGGG
rnacentral:lncRNA from 1 species